UACGAAGGGUACUAGCGUUGUUCGGAAUCACUGGGCGUAAAGCGCACGUAGGCGGAUAUGUCAGUCAGGGGUGAAAUCCCGGGGCUCAACCUCGGAACUGCCUUUGAUACAGCAUGUCUUGAGUCCGAUAGAGGUGAGUGGAAUUCCGAGUGUAGAGGUGAAAUUCGUAGAUAUUCGGAGGAACACCAGUGGCGAAGGCGGCUCACUGGUCCGGUACUGACGCUGAGGUGCGAAAGCGUGGGGAGCAAACAGG
rnacentral:rRNA from 1 species